rnacentral:rRNA from 1 species
UACGGAGGGUGCGAGCGUUGUCCGGAAUCAUUGGGCGUAAAGGGCGCGUAGGUGGCGGCUUAAGCGUGCGGUGAAAGCUCGGGGCUCAACCCCGAGUCGGCCGUGCGAACUGAGUCGCUUGAGCACUGUAGAGGCAGGCGGAAUUCCGGGUGUAGCGGUGGAAUGCGUAGAGAUCCGGAAGAACACCGGUGGCGAAGGCGGUUCUCUGGGCAUGUUCUGACGCUGAGGAGCGAAAGUGUGGGGAGCGAACAGG